rnacentral:rRNA from 1 species
ACGCUGACAGAAUGCUUAACACAUGCAAGUCGAUGAUGGGAGCUAGCUUGCUAGAAGAAGUCAUGGCGGACGGGUGAGUAACGUGUAAAGAACUUACCAUAUAGACUGGGAUAACAGAGGGAAACUUCUGAUAAUACUGGAUAAGUUAGUAGUAGCAUUACUAAGUAAUGAAAGGUAGUAAUACGCUAUAUGAGAGCUUUGCAUCCUAUUAGCUAGUUGGUGGGGUAAAAGCCUACCAAGGCGAUGAUAGGUAGCCGGCCUGAGAGGGUGGACGGCCACAAGGGGACUGAGAUACGGCCCUUACUCCUACGGGAGGCAGCAGUGGGGAAUAUUGGACAAUGGAGGCAACUCUGAUCCAGCAAUUCUGUGUGUGUGAAGAAGGUUUUAGGACUGUAAAACACUUUUAGUAGGGAAGAAAGAAAUGACGGUACCUACAGAAGAAGCGACGGCUAAAUACGUGCCAGCAGCCGCGGUAAUACGUAUGUCGCGAGCGUUAUCCGGAAUUAUUGGGCUUAAAGGGCAUCUAGGCGGUUAAACAAGUUGAAGGUGAAAACCUGUGGCUCAACCAUAGGCUUGCCUACAAAACUGUAUAACUAGAGUACUGGAAAGGUGGGUGGAACUACACGAGUAGAGGUGAAAUUCGUAGAUAUGUGUAGGAAUGCCGAUGAUGAAGAUAACUCACUGGACAGCAACUGACGCUGAAGUGCGAAAGCUAGGG